UUAUUCAUUUCAUUUAUUACUCACAAUCUUUCUAGGUAGCUAUGCUCUUACCCCGAUUUUACAUAACAGGAAAAUGAGGCCCAGAGAAGUUAAGUAACCCAUCCAAAGUCACACAGCCUGUUUUGGAGUGAUCAGGAUUGGAACACUGUCCUUUUGUUUUGUUUUGUUUCUUAUUCAAGUCUGUCCCCUUAAUUCCUGAACCAGGGGGUUCUUAACCAGAGGUCCCCCAAGGGCUCUUUGAAUGGGCUUCAGGGGCUCUGUAAAUCUCAGAAAUUUAUAUGUGUACCCAGGUGGGCACAUUUUUCUGGGAGCAAUAUUAUAUAACACCCAGGAUUCUCAAAGCGGGUGGGGAUCCAGAAAAGGUAAAGGCUGGAAUCAGGCCACUGUAGGGAAGGGAGGCAAGCCACUGGGGAAGGGGGAUGGAAGCGGCCUCCUCCCAGGCCUGGGGAGCAGGGAGGCAGCUGCUUCAAAAUUCAGGCUGGGCUCCAAGCCUGCUCCUGGACCUGCCCUGCUUUUUCUGGCCACACCCAGCUCUUAGGACCUCAGCUGGCAGGAAGACGUGGGGCACCAUCUGAGGGCAGGACACUCCUUUGGUCCCCUCCCUGAUUCUCCCCUUCCCUACUUCUUUUGUGAGCUGAAUUCCUUCAGAGCACUGUGACAAGGUGACCAUACCACAUGCACCAGCCUCCUCCAGGCACUGUAAUCCUGCUUGGAAGGAGCGGGGAGUGCUUGCCCUUUGGAAGUACUGGGGGACAUAGACAGACCACUGAGUGACAGAGACAGGAAGGGAGGAGAAGAGACAAGUUCCCAGAGAUGCUCAAGUCCUGGGUGCCCACUCUCUGCAGCCUCUAGAACAGCCUUCUCUUUUGGUUCCAAGCUUUUGCUCCCCUCAUCCAAGGGUUGGGAUGAUUUGUGUCCCUUCCUUUCCUGGCACCUCCUGCUCUGUCUCUAGUGCUCAACUCAUUUCCUGGGGGAAACCUUCUCUGCCCUGUUCAGCUCCUCUGCGCUCCUUAGCACAUUCCCCUGGAUGUCACUGUCAUAUUGCCAAGAAUGUGUUGCUUUGUCUGUCUGUCCUGCCUCUCUCUCUCCAUCUGUUGUGAACUUGGGAAGGAAGGACCUGAAUCACCUCUCCAUGCCCCUAUGCCAGCCCAGCAUACACCAAGGGGUCCAAGCAUUUGUUGAGUAAAUAAACUAAAUAAAUAAACAAGGGACAAAAAUGGAGCCAGACAGGGAACUUAGCCUGUGCCUCAGAGAGAGGACCAGGGGUAGGUGUAUUGGUUUUGCCAGCUGCCUGCAGAUGCGUGCGGUGCUCCUACUGCUCACACCAAUAUACUCAGAGGGGCCCAGAAGCCUCAUUCUCUAAUGCUUUUUGGCUAUG
rnacentral:lncRNA from 1 species